AAGGAUCAUUAAUGAAUUCGAAUGGGUAGUUGUUUUGCUGGCCUUUAUUGGCAUGUGCACGCUACCCUUUUCUUCAUUUCACCCCACUUUUGUGCACCAAUGGUGUGUUUGCGCUCACCCCGCCUUCACACGUGUUUCCACACACAUACCCCUAUUUAUCGUCUUUGGAAUGCAUAUACGAAGUUCAUUCUUCGAAUAAUGACUAUACAACUUUCAACAACGGAUCUCUUGGCUCUC
rnacentral:misc_RNA from 1 species